rnacentral:tRNA from 1 species
CGAGUGAGACUAAGAAGUAACGAAAACUGCUAAUAUUCGCCCCCUCGGUUGAACCCCGAGGCUCGCUCGA